GGGGUGACAGGUGACAGAGUGAGGGAAGGGGCAAAUAGUGUCAGAGUGAGGGAAGGAAGGGGUGACUAGUGACAGAGUGAAGGAGGUGGUGACUGUCACUAGUCACCCCAUCCCUCCCUCUGUCACUAAUCACUACCUCCCUCACUCUGUCACUAGUCACCCCAUCCCUCUCUCUGUCACUAGUCACCCCCUCCCUCUCUCUGUCAUUAGUCACACCCUCCCUCACUCUGUCACUAGUCACACCC